UGGCCGCUAAGUGGCGCACGGCUGAGUAAUGUAUACAUAACCUGCCCUUAAGAAAGGAAUAACAGUUGGAAACGACUGCUAAUGCCCUAUAUGCCUUUAAUACAUAAGUAUGCAAGGGAAACGCUUUAAUGCUUAAGGAUGGGUCUGUAUGGUAUCNNCUUGUUGGUGACGUAAUGGCUCACCUAUGCUAUGACGCCGAACUGGUUUGACACCAUGAUGAGUCACACUGGAACUGAAACCCCGUCCAGACUCCUACGGGAGGCAAUAGUGGGGAAUAUUGGACAAUGGACGAAAGUCUGAUGCAGCAACGCCGCGUGGAGGAUGACACAUUUCGGUGCGNNAACUCCUUUUAUAUAGGAAGAUAAUGACGGUACUAUAUGAAUAAGCACCGGCUAACUCCGUGCC
rnacentral:rRNA from 1 species